UCUCUCACAACUGUAUAGAGCGGUGGUAACUCAACGGGCUUUAAUGUAGUUACUCUGACACAACUGGUAUAAAUGAGAAGAAAAUCAGGCCCUGAAAUUCUGUAGACCUGGAAUUUAUUUCCAACUCUGCCACUAAUUUAUGCAAUUUUGACAAAUGCUUAUUGGCAGACAUGAAGACUGAAGUCCUCUAUUUAUCAACUGAACAAGUAUAGCACUGGAAUCAGGAAUGCAGAAACCGCCAUCUUUGAGUUUCAACCCUGACUGUGACCUGACCAGCUCUAGGAUAAUCAGCUGAACAAGAGCUAUCAGUGUGAUGCUGUGGCCAAAAGGACUCAUAAGGGGCAAGGCUGGGGAGGAAGGCAGACCUACCCUGAGGACCCUUGAACAAGGAUGCCAAAGAAGCCUUACUGUGAGGAAGAAGACUAUCUGCUGAUCAUAGUUGGGGCUGAAGGUUUAGUUGUCUUCUCUUUUCUUUUGCUAUCUUAUAUUGGACUUAAAGACUUUUGGGGAGACAGAUGGUAAGAAUUGAUCCACACUGGCAUCUCUGAAACAAUCUAGAGUGCCUAAUAUUAUUGACCCUCGGAGGGCCCUAGUUCAGAGCCCGAUGGAGUGGGAUGGCCCAGGCUCCCAUACCAACUGCCUUUGUUGCAAGAGGGGCAUAAACCUCAUUUUUACUCCACCUUCACCUCUAGUAAGGAGAGCGUAAGGACACUGAAAAUGCUGAGGUGAGGAUAAGCCACAUAUAAGUAUUAGGAACUAGACUGAAGGUUCUGCUGGGAGGCAAGAAACUGAAAACCAGGUAUGCUAACCACUAGGCCACCUAGCCUUCCAACUACUCUACUAGAGAUGCAUAAAUGGAGGGAAUCUCAAGUAGGAGUAGAGAGGUCAUUUUACCACUGUAUUUGGCACUGAUGCAGCUGCUGCUGGAAUACUCUGUCCAGUUCUGGUGUCCACAAGUCAAGAAGGAUGUUGAUAAAUUGGAGAGGGUUCAGAGAAGACCUGAAGGAAUGAUUUAAGGAUUAGAAUAUAUGCCUUGUAGUGAUAGAUUCAAGGAGAUUAAUCUAUUUAGAUUAACAAAGAGAAGUUUAAAGGGUGAUUUGAUUACAAUCUGUAAGAAACUAUAUGGGAAACAAAUACUUGACAGUGGGCUCUUAAAUCUAGCAGAGAUGGGUAUAACAUGAGUCUAUGGCUGGAAGUUUGAGCUAGACAAAUUCAGAUGGAAAUAAGGCAUACCUUUUUAACAGUGAGGGCAAUUAACCCUUGGAAUAAUUUGCCAAGGGUCAUGGUGGAUUCUCCAUUACUGGCAAUUUUUAAAUCAAGAUCCUAUGUUUUUGUAAAAGAAAUGCUCUCAGAAUUGUUUCAGGGAAGUUCUAUGGCCCCUGUUAUACCUGAGGCCUGUGUUAUACAUGAGAUUUUCCCUUCUGGCCUUGUAAUAUACGAAUCUGUGAAAAUAAAGUCUGACCACGCUAGAACUGAA